UGGAGAGUUUGAUCCUGGCUCAGAUUGAACGCUGGCGGCAUGCCUWACACAUGCAAGUCGAACGGCAGCAUGAUCUAGCUUGCUAGAUUGAUGGCGAGUGGCGAACGGGUGAGUAAUACAUCGGAACGUGCCCUGUAGUGGGGGAUAACUAGUCGAAAGAUUAGCUAAUACCGCAUACGACCUGAGGGUGAAAGUGGGGGACCGCAAGGCCUCAUGCUAUAGGAGCGGCCGAUGUCUGAUUAGCUAGUUGGUGAGGUAAAGGCUCACCAAGGSGASGAUCAGUAGCUGGUCUGAGAGGACGAUCAGCCACACUGGGACUGAGACACGGCCCAGAUUCUUACGGGAGGCAGCAGUGGGGAAUUUUGGACAAUGGGGGCAACCCUGAUCCAGCAAUGCCGCGUGUGUGAAGAAGGCCUUCGGGUUGUAAAGCACUUUUGUCCGGAAAGAAAUCGCACUUACUAAUAUUAGGUGUGGAUGACGGUACCGGAAGAAUAAGGACCGGCUAANUACGUGCCAGCAGCCGCGGUAAUACGUAGGGUCCAAGCGUUAAUCGGAAUUACUGGGCGUAAAGCGCACGCAGGA
rnacentral:rRNA from 1 species